AUGUCUAACAUCGAGCAUACCGUCUUGCACAAACAAAAUCCUGGGAACAUGUUUAUUAAAGAUCUAAUUGAAAAAUUGAAUAUAAGAUUGGCCAAGCUGCAAUAUGAAUAAGCUUUUAGAAUAUUUAUAUUCUUUUAAAUGUUUCUAUUUCUUUUUAUUAUUUAAUAGUGAAGAAGAUUUUAGAAUCUACUUACCAGGGAUUGCAAACUCAAAUACCUACCAGGCGGGGCACCUGGGUGGCUCAGUCUGUUAAGCGUCCAACUUCAGCUCAGGUCAUGAUCUCACAGUUGGUCAACCGAGGCUGAGGAGAAAAGCAACGUUUGCAUCUCAGACACUGUGUUGGUGAAAUGGAUUAACUUUGGUCUUCCCGGGCCGACCAAACACUCUCAUCAUCUGUGAUGAUGACUAUACUGAGAAAGUCGAAACAAUCAUGUGUUAUUGGUGAUACUACACUCCUUCCAGUGGGGGCAGACCAUCUUUUCCCCCACCCGCCUCCCCAUCACUGCAGUGAAGGAAGCCUGCCGCAAAAGAGAGUAUCCUGCGUGAUUCCAUGCACAGACCUCCUAAAAGCUGUUGGAAUUUCCUGUGAUGGAAGGAAUAAAGGUGUCUUCUGUUACAUUAAUGAGGUGACCUUUGGAAAACCCGGAAGGACUGAGGCCGUGGUCAGAGGAGCCUACCCAGUGGUGGAGGGUUGGAGGCUUCAGCCUCCAGCCAGAGCCCCUCCCCACCAGGGGAGUGGGGCUAGAGAUUGAGUUCAAUGCCCGAUAGCCAAUCAUUUAAUUAGUGGUGCCUACAGAAUGAAGCCUCCGUAAGAACCCAAAAGGAUGGGGGUUUGGAGAGCUUUCGGUUUGGUGAACAUACAGACAGUGGCGUGUUUGGAGACAGCAUGCAAACUCUGCAUCUUUUUCACACACCUCGCCUUAUGCACCUUCUUCAUCUGGCUAUUCCUGAAUCAUAUGCUCUUAUAAUAAAUCAGUCAUCUAGUAAGUAGAAUGCUUCUCUGAGUUCCGUAAGCCACUCUAGCAAAUUAAGCCCAAGGGAGGGGGUCAUUAGAAUGUCCAGUCUAUAGGCAGUUCACUCAAAGCACAGGUGACAACCUAGACUUGCAACUGGCAUCUGAAGUCGGGGAGGAGGCCUGAACCUGUGGGAGCUGAUGCUCUCUCCGGGUAGGUAGUGUCAGAAUGGAGUUGAAUUGUAGGACACCUAGCUGGUGUUUGAAGAACUGGCUGGUGUGAGCGGAAGAGACCCACACGAUGGAAUGCGGUGAAGAAUCUUAUUAAGAAAUAGUUACCUGCUGCUGGUUCUUAAGAAGUGUCUCUUUCAUUCAUAAACAUACUAUGCUGGGAUCUAAGAAUAAAAAGUCUAUUAAGAAUUAGCCUUGGGGCACCUGGGUAGCUCAUUUGGUUAAG